rnacentral:tRNA from 1 species
AGGAACUUAGGUUACUUAAACCGAGGGCCUUCAAAGCCCUAAACAAGAGCUACCCCUCUUAGUUCCUG